UACGUAGGGUGCGAGCGUUGUCCGGAAUUAUUGGGCGUAAAGCGCUCGUAGGCGGUCUGUCGCGUCGGUCGUGAAAACUUGGGGCUUAACCCUGAGCUUGCGGUCGAUACGGGCAUGACUGGAGUUCGGCAGGGGAGACUGGAAUUCCUGGUGUAGCGGUGAAAUGCGCAGAUAUCAGGAGGAACACCGGUGGCGAAGGCGGGUCUCUGGGCCGAUACUGACGCUGAGGAGCGAAAGCGUGGGGAGCGAACAGG
rnacentral:rRNA from 1 species